GUUUAAACAUCUUCUCAAAGCCAUACAAACUCCCAAUUAAUACCAAGACACCACCCAUCUUGAGUGUGAUAUCUGAGACCACACUAAACCAUAGAUAACCGAGGAAUUUGUCAACCGAAGACAUCAACCACCACCAACCCACACUUACCAAUACCAUUUGAUCCUGUGUUUUAAAAAUGCCAUUGAGACCAUAGUACAUCACAAAAGCCAUAGAACGAUCCCCGUCGAUAGCAUCAAUCUCUCACAACUGGUUUAUAGCCAAAACAUACCCAAAUGUAGGCAAAUAUGAUCUGAACUCAGCAAUACCAUCACCACCAUGGAUCGUGACACUCAACAAAAAACACAUAGCAAAUCUAAAAUGACCCCACAGUCCCAAUGAAGCAAAGCCACAGAUAACCACUCCUCGAUCAAUAAUCCAACACCCCACA
rnacentral:lncRNA from 1 species